GCUGUUGAAGUUCGCGGGUGCGAACUAUACUUAGCGGGCGCGAACUUGCACUGUUCAGUUCGCUGUUUUUCUAUUUAAAGACCCCUUAUUCGACCUAAACUCUUUUCCUUCGACUUUUAAAACCCUAAAACGGCUGGAGUCAUAUUCUAACUCAUUCCUAUCAACUUUCAUCUCAAUUUUAAUCCUUGGCUGAGUUGGAUUAUAUCAUUUCUGGGUUUUCUUCUUUUGAUCGUUCAAGAGACCCGUCAACUGCUCGUGCUUCGGAGUCUACGCAGGGUUAGCUGUUUGCCAAGAUUCACGUGGAUAGCAAGCAGUUUAUGAUUUGAAAGCUGGUCCACUCCGAUUCUUUUGAUUCCUCGGAGGUUUUAUGUUAUUUAAACUAGCUACUGUUUUUGAACUCUUAGACCGCAGUAGGACUAGUUUAUAUAUUAC